rnacentral:rRNA from 1 species
UACGGGGGGGGGCAAGCGUUGUUCGGAAUUACUGGGCGUAAAGGGCUCGUAGGCGGCCAACUAAGUCAGACGUGAAAUCCCUCGGCUCAACCGGGGAACUGCGUCUGAUACUGGAUGGCUUGAGUUCGGGAGAGGGAUGCGGAAUUCCAGGUGUAGCGGUGAAAUGCGUAGAUAUCUGGAGGAACACCGGUGGCGAAGGCGGCAUCCUGGACCGACACUGACGCUGAGGAGCGAAAGCCAGGGGAGCAAACGGG